AUCACUACGCUAGAUGCAUAUCAAUAAGCGGAGGAAAAGAAACUAACAAGGAUUCCCCUAGUAACGGCGAGUGAAGCGGGAAGAGCUCAAAUUUGAAAUCUUAAAGGGUUUCCCUUUACGAAUUGUAGUUUAAAGAAGUGUUUUCUGUUGGAGUUUCGGUAAAAGUUCUUUGGAAUAGGACAUCAUAGAGGGUGAGAAUCCCGUAUUUGACCGUUACUUUCCAGCUGUGUGAUACACUUUCAAAGAGUCGGAUUGUUUGGGAAUGCAGUCCAAAAUGGGUGGUAAAUUUCAUCUAAAGCUAAAUAUUGGCGAGAGACCGAUAGCGAACAAGUACCGUGAGGGAAAGAUGAAAAGAACUUUGAAAAGAGAGUUAAACAGUACGUGAAAUUGUCAAAAGGGAAGCGUUUGACACCAGUGUUGUUUUUCCGAGAAUCAAUUACGAAUGUUUUAGUUUUUGAGGAGUUAUGACUUCAUCGGCUUGCUCCUUUCUUUAUGAAACUUUCUUAAUGCACUUUUCGGUUAACAAGUCAACAUCAAUUUCUUUUGUUGUAAAAGGGUAUGAGGAAGGUGGCUUUCUUUUCGGAGAAAGUGUUUAUAGCCUUGUGCCUCUGCAAUCGGAGAGAUUGAGGUCUGCAGCGUAGAUCCUUCGGGGUUAGAUACGUUUGUGCUAAGUUAUAGCUUUUCAUAGACAACUUGUUGACUAUGUUUAGUCUUGUAGCUUACUCGCUUACUGCUAUUUUACCUACGCUUAGGAUGUUGACGAGACUGUCGAUCUC
rnacentral:rRNA from 1 species